GCCGAAAUAGCUCAGUUGGGAGAGCGUUAUACUGAAGAUUUAAAGGUCUUUGGUUCAAUUCCGAGUUUAGGCA